rnacentral:tRNA from 1 species
GCCUGGGUGGCUCAGUCGGUUGAGUGGCUGACUGAGGCUCAGAUAAUGAUGUCGGGGUUCAUGGGUUCGAGCCCUGUGUCUGGGCU